GAGCAGAUGGUGGAUGCCUUGGCACCAAGAGCCGAAGAAGGACGUAGGAGGCUGCGAUAAGCCUCGGGGAGCUGUCAACCGAGCUGUGAUCCGGGGAUGUCCGAAUGGGGAAACCCAGCUGGAGUCAUGUCCAGUUACCCAUGCCUGAACACAUAGGGCAUGCGGCGGGAACGUGGGGAAGUGAAACAUCUCAGUACCCACAGGAAGAGAAAAACAACAGUGAUUCCGCGAGUAGUGGCGAGCGAAAGUGGAAGAGGCUAAACCGUAUCCGCGUGAUAGCCGGCAGGCGUUGCGAAUACGGGGUUGUGGGGCCGUUCUGAGGAUUCUGCCGAAUCCUCAAAGAGUCAGAAAUCCAGGAUGUAGUCGAAGACUUUGGAAAGAGUCGGCAUAGCGGGUAACACCCCCGUAGACGAAACAUCUUGGACUCUUGAGCGAUACCCCAAGUAGCACGGGGCCCGAGAAAUCUCGUGCGAAUCUGGCGGGACCACCCGCUAAGCCUAAAUACUCCUUGGUGACCGAUAGCGGAA
rnacentral:rRNA from 1 species